GACGAACGCUGGCGGCGCGCUUAACACAUGCAAGUCGAACGGAAAGGCCUGCUUUUCCUUGUGGAUUGCGGGUACUCGAGUGGCGAACGGGUGAGUAACACGUGAGUGAUCUGCCCCCAACUUGGGUAUAAGCCUGGGAAACUGGGUCUAAUUCCCGAUAGGACUGCAGGGUGGUGCCUGUGGUGGAAAACGAUUUUCUAGUGGUUGGGGAUGAGCUCGAGGCCUAUCAGCUUGUUGGUGGGGUAAUGGCCUACCAAGGCGGGGACGGGUAGCCGGCCUGGGAGCGGGGACAGUGGCAUUGAGACUGGGAUCAGACCCAUACGCCAGCGAGAAGCAGGAGAUUUGAAGAAAUGGGAGAAAGCGGAAGCCAGAAGCGGCGAGGGCGCGAGGAAGGUGACGGGCUUCGAAAUGUAAGCUCCUUUGGAAGAAGAGGAAGCCACCUAGGUGGAAGGGUGGUGACGGUAGUGGAAGAAGAAGCACCGGCUAACUACGUG
rnacentral:rRNA from 1 species